rnacentral:lncRNA from 1 species
GGAGAUGCUAAGGGCUGUGUCUCCUGGUGGGGACUAUUUUGGCUUUAUAUGCUCUGUGCAGGAAUCUGAUAGAGGAGGACAGCACCAGGAUGAUGUGUGAAGCAGGUGAGAACGUGGAGGCACUGACUUGCUGAUGUGAAUCACUCUUGAACACUGUAAGAGAACUGGGAGCUCAGCAGCAGUGGACAAAAUGAAUGGAUAACGUUUGCAAGAUCAUGAUACUGUACACAAGAAGGCUGGACUUAACAUCAUAGUCACAGAGCCAUGAGGUUGCUUAGACGGAGCGCCAUGGAAACAGGGCCACGGACUGGGCAAGGCUACACUGCCCCCUGGAUGUACCAUGGUGUGGCUGGCCAGGACACGCUCCUGGAUAAGCAACUUGUUUCUGAUUUUUCUCCCAGCUGGCAUCGCCCCAGACCCCGUGUACUGCAGGAUUCAACCAACUGGCCCAAUCCUCACGUCUUUCCACCCCGCCGGGUCCCACUGAGGCACGAAGGCCAUUGGUUUCCGGGGAAGGAGUUCGGCAGGGCAGCCCCCUCUCCGAAAGCUCAAAGGCAGCCUAGUCCUGCCUAUGAGGGUCUAUAUCCCAUCAGCAGGAGGGAUUGGAUCUGCGGAGGCUUCCGCACAGAAAAAAGGGGUUCUGUAGGCCCAGCCGGUGGCUUUCCUGCAAAGUGCAGGUGGUAUCAAGGAACUCCGGCCCAGUGUGCGGUAGAUCUCCUUGCCCGAGCCCCUCCGAGCUACGAAGCCCAUAUGCUGUUGCGCCUCAGAACAGGGCGGGGCCCUCGCAAAGAAAACUGGCUAAGCCCACCGCCUUAUAUUGCUCCCCCUUCCUACGAAGCAUCGCACCGCACGGUCAAGCCUCAUCCGCCGCAGCUGCAGCACACAGGCAAGGAAGCCCUCUUGGCAAAAAAGCCAACCCGAGAGGCUCCCAAGAAAACCCAGAAUGCAGUAGAGGCGUCUGAGCUGGGGCCUUUGACUCACAGUCUUGGGAAAAAGGGUGCCACAGAAGAGCUCGUUUUGCUGCAUGACAUUGCUACAAUUUUCCCUCUGGAACCUUCCCUCAACUUGACAGCCUCCAGAUCUUGCUGUCCUGUAAGUCCCAUUACCUUGGACCACAGACCUCGCUGGCUGGCACUGAUGGAACCUAGAACAGAAAACAUCUAG